CCUACGGGAGGCUGCAGUGGGGGAUAUUGCACAAUGGGGGGAACCCUGAUGCAGCGACGCCGCGUGGGUGAAGAAGCGCCUCGGCGCGUAAAGCCCUGUCAGCAGGGAAGAAAAUGACGGUACCUGAAGAAGAAGCCCCGGCUAACUACGUGCCAGCAGCCGCGGGAAUACGGAGGGGGCAAGCGUUAUCCGGAUUUACUGGGUGUAAAGGGGGCGCAGACGGCGAUGCAAGCCAGGAGUGAAAGCCCGGGGCCCAACCCCGGGACUGCUCUUGGAACUGCGUGGCUGGAGUGCAGGAGGGGCAGGCGGAAUUCCGGGUGUAGCGGUGAAAUGCGUAGAUAGCAGGAGGAACACCGGUGGCGAAGGCGGCCUGCUGGACUGCAACUGACGUUGAGGCCCGAAAGCGUGGGGAGCAAACAGGAUUAGAUACCCCAGUAGUC
rnacentral:rRNA from 1 species